rnacentral:rRNA from 1 species
GACGAACGCUGGCGGCGUGCCUAAUACAUGCAAGUAGAACGCACAGUUUAUACCGUAGCUUGCUACACCAUAGACUGUGAGUUGCGAACGGGUGAGUAACGCGUAGGUAACCUGCCUGGUAGCGGGGGAUAACUAUUGGAAACGAUAGCUAAUACCGCAUAAUAUUGAUUAUUGCAUGAUAAUUGAUUGAAAGAUGCUAUUGCAUCACUACCAGAUGGACCUGCGUUGUAUUAGCUAGUAGGUGAGGUAACGGCUCACCUAGGCGACGAUACAUAGCCGACCUGAGAGGGUGAUCGGCCACACUGGGACUGAGAUACGGCCCAGACUCCUACGGGAGGCAGCAGUAGGGAAUCUUCGGCAAUGGACGAAAGUCUGACCGAGCAACGCCGCGUGAGUGAAGAAGGUUUUCGGAUCGUAAAGCUCUGUUGUAAGAGAAGAACGGGUGUGAGAGUGGAAAGUUCACACUGUGACGGUAUCUUACCAGAAAGGGACGGCUAACUACGUG